UCUCUCCACCCAAUAUUACCGUUUUUGGAUACUUUCUUUCUUCCUUUCUUCUUCUUCUUCUUCUACAUUUCUCCUCUUCUCACAGGCUCCACUUGCAUGAGAGACGCCAUUUUCUCUCAACUCACAAACCACCGCCGACCACCGCCGCCGGAAACUGAAUCCCAUGGUAUCGGAAUCGGACCUCCUGACCCGGCUCCGGGAAAUCCUCAGCUCUUCCGACCUCGACACCGCCACCGCCGGCAGCGUCCGCCGCGAGCUCGAGAAACAUUUCGGGGCCGAUCUAUCCGACCGGAAAGCCUUUAUCAGGGACCAAAUCGACCUUUACCUCGAGAGCCAGGUCGCCAAUCCCCAGGACGACGAAGACGAUGCGGCGGCGGCCCCGGAGGAGGUCGGUGAAGGCUCCGAGAAUGCCGAGCAAAACGACGACGUUAAAGUAGAAGAUGAUGUUGAAGAAGAAGAUGAAGAAGAUGAUGAGGAACCAGUAGGCAAAGCUAAACGGAAAAAAGCACCCAAGAAGGUGGACAAAGGAGGUGCAAAACGAGGUGGCUUUAAAACAGUAUACAGCCUGUCUCCACAACUUCAAGUAAUUGUUGGAGAGCCUGAAAUGGCCAGACCAGAGGUAGUGAAGAAACUUUGGGCUUAUAUCCGGGAAAAGGAUUUGCAGGACCCAAAGAAUAGGCGGAACAUAAGAUGUGAUGAAUCACUACAUGCCGUUUUUCGUGUUAAGUCUAUUGAUAUGUUUAAAAUGAAUAAAGUCCUGUCCAAGCAUAUAUGGCCGCUAAACAGGGAAGAUGAACCUUUAAAGAAAAUGAAGAAAGGGGAAGACAGUGAUCACUCUAUCUCCGAAGGAGAUCUAAGUAAUGUAGAGGAACAAGAGGUUGAAGAAGAAGAAGAAGAAGAAGUGAAGAAAGAAAAAGGCAGUAAUCGAAAACAGACCAAGAAACGGAGGUCUGCUAAAGUGGAUAAAGAAGUCAAGAAAAGGGGAGGUGGCUUUACCAAGUUAUCAAGCCUUUCUCCAGAACUUCAAAAAAUCACUGGAGCGUCAGAAUUGGCUAGAACAGAGGUUGUCAAGAAGCUUUGGAACUAUAUCCGGGAGAACAAUUUGCAAGAUCCAAAUAAUAGGAGAACUAUAAUAUGUGAUGAGCUGUUCCGCACCCUUUUUGAUGUCGAUUCUAUCGAUAUGUUUCAAAUGAAUAAAGCUCUGUCCAAGCACAUAUUGCCUUUAAAUCAAGAAGCAGCUCUAGACAACACUUCACAAACAGAGAAGCAGUCUGAACAUGAGCAAGAAGCAUCAAUUUCAAUAUUCAGAUUCAGAUGAAGCUGACCGCGACGAAAAACGGCAGAAGAAGGGAGACUAAGAGUACAUAAGACAAAAUGAUCCGCAGGAACCAUCAGAUAAGAAGAGAAUGAGAAUCAUUUGUGAUGAUGUGCUAAGAACUUUCUGAGGUCGAUUCGUUCAUUGGCUUCUCAUUCUCAAAGCUUUUAACUGCUUCUGACAGCUUAAUUCAUCAAAGACAGGACAGAAUGAUGCUGAGUUGUAAAUACUUUAGCCCAAAGUGAAGAGGGCAUUUUUGAACAACUCAAUAUCCUCUCCAUAGCGUUGUAAUCUUUAAUGUUCUGAACAUCUUUCUAAAAAUGAAAGUAGAAAUUUUGAUGAA